UAUCUCCAGAAGAUCAAGUUUUGCUUAGUGUCUUUGGGCAAUAUUAUCCCCUUCUUAAAUUCCCAGGAUUGGUUGGGAACUCUUGACCUUUGAAAUGCAUGCUUCCAUAGCUUAAUAAGGCAGUUACACUUGGGGCAUUUCAGACUUAAGCUGGGCAGCAGUACAAGGUGCUAACUCUUAGGGACAGCGUUGCUAGUGCAAAUGGAUGGUAGCUGAGUAUUAUGGAAGAGCGAGGAUAUCGCUGAAGGUCACAGCACUGAGGAGAGAGUCUCCUUUAUCUCAGGACAUCGGAACUGGAUUCAAAUAAAGGGUGAAUUUUAGCCAUCUCAUCUUUUAAAGGGAUGAAGGGGACACACAAAAAAACCAUUCCCACGAAAGCAAGAAAUGGGAAAAGUAUGAAAUGCAAAAACUUGGGAAUGAUCAUGGAAAUAGCUUUUACUUGGAAACUUACAUGUUUUCAUAGACUGUGCCCUUUUUGAAGAUACUACAGAAAUAACCACUGUAUGAGAGAAUGCUGCUUUGAUUGAAGCAAUAGAAUCAACUUUGUUUGACCAUGAAUAAUUGAAGUCUUUGUGUUAAUGCUUCCUUUAAGGAGUAGUGGAUCAGUAAAUGUAACUUAACUGCAGGAAAAGACUUAUGGAUGGAAUUUAUGACUGCAUUUCAGUGAAAGUCUUUUCAUUUUUCCUUCUUGGUUAAAUAGAAGAAGGAUUACUUAGAUUAUUCAGUCUUGCAGCUGAAAUUGUUAGCAAUUCCCAAUGCUCCUUUUCAUCAUGAUUUUAGGUACAUGUUUCAGCUUAAACUUUCUCUUUUGCUUUCUUACUCAGUUCUUCAGGAGAAUUUGUUUAUUUUCGCAUUAUUAUUAAGUAAGACCUGGCAAUGUAGUACUCGACUUUUAUGAGGAAGUUGUAACCUUGCAUUUGUAUGUUUGUAUGUGGAUUUUAAACAGGACUGUCACCUAAGUGCAGUGGCCCUUCGUAAAAGAAGGAGUUGGAAGUAUUCCCACUGAGUUCUGAGACCGUGAGAGAGGGCUGUUUCUGUGCCCAGACUUAUGCUCCCCAUCACAGUACAGUGCCAUCACAGAGGAGAGUCAUCACACUGUGCUUCUCAGGCCUGUGAUUUUCAAGUGCACAGUUCCCAGUGCCAGUGAGUGGAGCUGUGUAAGCAGGGAUUCACAAGCUGUCACCCGGAGCUACAUUCACACAAGCACUAAUAUCAUUCAUUUCCCCUGUGAUGCUGUGAGAAGUGCAAGCAAGGAAAAAAUAGAGUAUUCUGGUGCAGUCUGUUCACUGGCCACCUUCUUGGGAGUCAAAUUAUCUUAAUGUAUCAAUAAAAUCUGAGUGAGUCUUCAUUCUUGGAUGUUCAGAAGGAAAGAAGUUCUAUGUCCUGCAGGGAUGGCCAAGUCCUUUCUUUCUGAUACUUCAUUACAGAUCUCAGAUAUCUUAAAGCUGACUGUGAAGGAAAUGCACAUAAAGUUUCAUGUUACUUAAAGAUGUAAAGAUUGCUGUGCUGCAUCACCUUCAUGGGCUUGUAUGCUCUACUGUCCCAUCUUCAGAGCUCGACUUCUGGACAAGAUAAUGAUGGGAACAUUUCUGAAGAAGGGAACGACCUCUGGCUUUGGAAAGAAACAGCGAAGAAAAAAUCCAGAGCUUCCAGUCUACUGUCUUGAAGCACCUCCUCCAGACUGUCAGCUCCUACGUGCUGACAAGGUGUUGAACAUAGUGUAUGCCAGCUUUCAUUUACUCCAUUCUUAGGCACCCAAUUUUAUGAAAUGAUAAACACUGGACAAAGAGAGUAUGAAUAGCGUGACUAUUUCAAUACUUAACUUUGCAAAGCUUAGCGCUUACUUUUAGACUUAGGUAGCCACUAAGAGCAGAUGUAAUACAAUACAGCAAUUUUGGUGCCACAGCAUUUGCUGGAAGGUGGAUAUUUAAAAAUAAAAUGCAUUCAUGUUCAGCAGUGUCUUUGUAGAGGGGAAUUCCUUAAGUUGUGUAACUCAGUGUGAAUAAGCAACUUGUUCAGCCAUGAUGAUGAUUAGCUUUUCACGAGCACUGUUUUCACUCCUCCAUUCAGAGCAGAGGGAAGCAGGCAUUGCACCACAUUCUCUGUCACUGCAAUAUUUUUUCAAAGAAAAACUGACACGAGACGAGUUUAAUGGUACCACAGUGUCCUUGGGAUAAAGAACAUAGAGCCUUUUUUAGUUCUUCUUAAAUUAGAUACCAGGAAGGCUUAUUGCCACAGUUUCAUACUAUAAAUAACGUCACCUGGAUUGGAAGUGCUGCCAUGAUCCUUGCAAAAUGCUUCUGCUGAUAGAACACAGGGGACCAAGCUGAUCUGCCCCUACUGUGAUUAAUAAUUAUCUCAGAGGUGAAUUUCAUUAUAUUCGAGUAAUUAUUUCAGUGUAAGAUUUAAAAUUACAAAGACGGAUAUAGAUGUGGCACUGAUGAAAGCCAGUUUGUGUAACUGCAAGCUGCUCUGUCCACAAGAUCUGACAAUGCUAACAUGAAGUAUAAGAAAAAGAGUUAACAUCCUCUUUGUCCCUUCCACUCUUACAUCCUUUCAGUGACACCACAUCUGAGUUCAUAACUCAGAAUGUGAAAAAUUAUAGUGCCGCACUGAAAUGCUUCAGAACAAGAGGUGACUUUAAUCCUGCUCUUGCCAAAGAUCUUUUAAUAUUUGUUUCUUUUCUGCAUAAAAUCUGUGUAAAAUACAGAUCUUUUUUCUAGAGCUUAGAUGUGAUAAGGUGGUAUUUUAUGGCACUUCAUAGCCUAUACUGAAUACCAGCUUUAUGAAUCAUUAGGCCUUACUGUUGACUUGCACAGAAGCAAGGCUUUCUAUGCACUAAAAAGAAGCUUUGUGUUUUGUCAGUCCUCUCUUCACAGAGUAAUCUUUGGUCAUCUACACAGCAAGUAAUCUAGAGUAAAAAAAUCUCAAGUAAUCUGGAAAGAAAGAAGCCCUGCUUUGUUAAAAGAGUGAAUCAACUUCUCCCCUUUAUCUUAUUUAUAUCUCCCAAGCAGCACAGGGAUUAAGAUGUAUUGUCAAAGUCUUGCCUCACCCAACUUGCCACAUUACUUAUGAGUUCACGAAUAAGCUGGCUCCUUAGCUUUAACUAUGAGUGUUAUGAACGAGUCAGGUAAACGCAUUUGAAAUAGGCUGUACCUUCGUGAAAUGCUAUUUUCCAUACCAUAACACAGUAGACAUAGACCAACCUCGCAUUAAGUCAUCCAACAACAAGAAUACCUGCAGGCCAAACAUGGGCCUUCUAACAGAUAAAUAUUUUUAUCUAGUUUAUAAAGAUAAAUUUAAAUAUCACUGAAUGGAGAAAAUUUAUUAAUAUGGUCUCUUGUUCUGAAAGCAAACAUUUCCUUUUUUUAUUAUUUAUUUUCAGUACUUCAUACAUCAUUUUCAACAAGAAGUGACAAAAAUCUCAACUGUUAAACUCUUAGCAGGUGGAAACCCUGGUUAAGCUGACUGUAACAAAUAGCUGCAAUUUAAGCCUAUCUUUUUGAAGAAUGAUAUGCUGAAGUACAACUGAAUAAAUAAGUACCUUUUAAAUAUGUCUCAAAUAAAACUGAAUAGUUUACUGAAUACUGUGUUGGUAUGUUUUCCCAACAUGAUUUGUAGAAAGCAACAUGAGUAACACUCGAAGCUCCAAGUGCCAAUAUAUUAACAAAGUGUUUCAUGUUUUUCUCACUGAAAAGUAAUUUACUUCUGCUCAUCGCUCUUUACAUAUUUUGAGGAAGGCUGAAAAUCGUGGGGGAAAAGAAAGCAAGACUGUGUUAAUUUAAUUUAAAUAUAUUGUAUAUUAUUUGACAUAAUACGCAAUUUAAUAUGUCAGAG
ensembl:lncRNA